UUUCUUUGAACAUUACAAAUAAUUUCUCUCCUUCCACUGCCUCCUUUAAUUUAUAUUGGGGUCCCUUAGUUCUGGGUCAAUUUGUUAAAAUGAGCAGGUUAUGAGAUGUUGAGUGAGGAGCCCACACGACUGUCCUCCUGAGGUCCCGCACUGCCAUCUGAGCAGGAGCAGGCGUCUGUCACGCUGAAGACCUGCGUGCUACUCUGUGGUUUCAGAAUCCUGGUAGAGGAGAGCGUUACUUUAAGAAGCAGACACGUGAGCCUCCAGAUGCAGCCAAGCAUGAAAUCAGCUCGGGUGGAUAACCUUGAACAGCGACAAAAGAACAAUCUCCUUCCAAACUGGGCUAGGAAUUUGUAUUACUGAACUAUGCCAAGUUCGAAGGAGUCAAAGUAGAAUUGUUUCCAGGAAAAUGGUUUAUUCUCCAUCUGAUUCCACCACGGCUAUCGCCAGGAAUAUGGCAGCACCUUUGUUCCAGAGAGAGGAGGACUCCUGUAAGGAAGAGGCAGAAGAGAAAGCUGGAGGUGCUGUUCAGAAGCCACAAGAGGUGGUGACAGGAAAUAUGAGUCCCUGAGAAGUGGGGCACAUGGUAUAAGUGACAGUGGUGAUUGAGACACCAGCUAAAUCUGGUUUGUAAGGAUUUUCUGAUGACAGUCUGUAACCCUUCAGCCACCUUCUAGGAAGACCGUUUCUGAUCUUCAACCUUGGCAUAGCCCUGAAUUCUUGAGUGACUGACUCAAUCCACAUUAGCUGUAGUGCCACUGUAUGCUAAAGACGUUCCUCCCCGUCAGAAUGGGAAAAAACAGGACGUAAGGCAGGGAGCUACCUCUGUUUCUCUUGCUAGAGUGGGGUGUGCUUAUCUGUUUCUCUUGCUAGAGUGGGAUGUGCUUGGGCUUCCCCAUAUGGAGAGAGAACACCCCACUUGGAAUGCGUAAGGAUUUUUCCAUGGAAACAAUAUUGACACAGGGAAAGCGGAUCCAUACUCCAUGGGUUUGGAAAGCUACUCUGUGUUCAAUAUGUGUUAGGUUGGCUUUUAUGGAUUUGCCUCAGAAGCUAACCACAUUUCCGACACUCCUUCUCUAGGAAAAGGUCAAGUUCAGGGCAAUGAGUUAGUAAGCCAACUACUGGAACAUGGUGUAUUUAUAUGGAACUGGAGUGAAUCUCUUCAUUGUGUGUGCGUAUGGGAAGGCAUGAGCCUCACCAACGGCAUUCCUCAGCCAAACCUCGGAAGCUAGAAUUCCAGCAGAGCUUCAGGAUUAUGAUGUCGUCCUUCAGAAAACAAAACAAAACAAAACAAACAAAAAACAUUCGUCUUUAUUUUAGGUGUGUUAUGCUUCUAUAGAUAACAAGUUAAACUAAGUAUUUUUUCUGUUUCACAUACAAAACCUAACUGAUGGGUUUGCUUUUUGAUGCUUCAUUACUUGAGUCUAGCUAAGUGGUUAAGGGCAUGUAAAGUUCAUUUCCAGCCCACAGUUCUUUAAGCAUUUAUUUCCUUGUCAGUGUUACUAUGUCAGCAAAUAUGUGUGGGUGGUAAGGAAG
rnacentral:lncRNA from 1 species